AUUUUGGCCCUGAAUAGACCUUGUAGAACUUUCGACUAUUUCUUGCGUUGUCUUGACCUUAUUAUUUCGUCUCAUCAAGAAUGAUAUACGUUCGUAUGUCCGGCAUUAGAAGUCUCCAUUAUUCUUAUCGAAAAAAUAGCUAUCGCUAACCAUUUGAUUGCCACUAGCGAAGACUAGCAAUGUUGGAUGAGAGCGCAUAGUCGAUAAAAAGGAAGUCCGCAUGAGCCACUUGAGAACAAGAAAACGAUUUGUAGUCUUGGGUCAAAGGUCGCUAAAUCAGCCUUAAGAAGAUCUCUAGAGCAUUCUGCAAUUUUGGAUCCAAUAAAAAACACCACUGGAAACUUGAUGGGCAUUCCCCAGUUGCUCUGCCUCUCAAUUUACCCCGAUAUUCGUCACAUUGUGAAAUGAGUGAGAAUCAUUAAAUCAUCAGGAGACACAUCAGUUUCCAAGACCUCCUUGAGAGAACAAUCGCAUUCAAAAUGAGGUUGAUGGGAUUGGCCCUGAUCUUGGCGAUCACAUUGCAGAGCUGUGUUACGUCGUCCUCUGAAAUUGUCCGAAGACCAGAAAAUGCAGCCACCUUCAUGAUUAAAGUCCGAGAUCGAUUGGUUACGGAAUGUUCCGGGUCCAUUGAACUACGCUCGGGUAGAAGAGUGACAAGGCUGCCCGCAAGAAGUCAUCGCAGCAUUCACAGAAGGUAUCGACGAAACGUGACUGUCUCAAUAUUAGGCACGUGCUGCUUUAAGCUCUUUGAAAGGCCGCGUUUCCGAGGACGAGGACACCUUUAUUUGCCUGGGGAAACUGGCCGUUGUUCGAGAUUGGGAUCAAUAGCCAAGCAAAGAUGCCCCAAUGUCCGUAGCUGAGAGCAACUUUGUUAACAUCUGCUGUAAAAAAUUCUACCAAAUAAACUAAUCACUCUGUCUCAAAAUGACAAAA